rnacentral:rRNA from 1 species
GACAGAGGGUGCAAACGUUGCUCGGAAUUACUGGGCGUAAAGCGCGUGUAGGCGGUCACGCAAGUCAGGUGUGAAAGCCCAGGGCUCAACCCUGGAAGUGCACAUGAUACUACGUGGCUGGAGUACUGAAGAGGAGAGCGGAAUUCCCGGUGUAGAGGUGAAAUUCGUAGAUAUCGGGAGGAACACCAGUGGCGAAGGCGGCUCUCUGGGCAGAUACUGACGCUGAGACGCGAAAGCGUGGGUAGCAAACGGG